UAAUUGAAGAGUUUGAUCAUGGCUCAGAUUGAACGCUGGCGGCAGGCCUAACACAUGCAAGUCGAGCGGUAACAGGAGAAAGCUU
rnacentral:rRNA from 1 species